rnacentral:rRNA from 1 species
UACGUAGGGGGCAAGCGUUGUCCGGAUUUAUUGGGCGUAAAGAGCGUGUAGGCGGCUUUACAGGUCCGUUGUGAAAACUCGAGGCUCAACCUCGAGACGCCGGUGGAAACCGUAAAGCUAGAGUCCGGAAGAGGAGAGUGGAAUUCCUGUGUAGCGGUGAAAUGCGCAGAUAUCAGGAAGAACACCCGUGGCGAAGGCGGCUCUCUGGGACGGUACUGACGCUGAGACGCGAAGCGUGGGAG